AAUGAUAUAUUUGUAAUAUCAUUGCUAAAUUUAAUGGGAUGAACAGUUCAUAAGAUUCAAAAGUGGUUUUGUGGAAAAACCUUAAUCUCUGUACCACAUCUCUGUGACGAAAAAAAGACAGUUGGGAAUGUAAUGUGGAAUUUUCACUAUUUAUUCUUCUUUUGAUGUGGAUGUAAUAGGUUACGGUGGAUACAAGCCUUGUGAUCACUGAGGCAUUGAAAGAAGCCACAUACUUUUCACUUUUCCAGAACAAUUAGAGGAUAUGCAGUAUAACAUAUUUUGAGCAACAUUCUAAAUGUGCUAUAUAAGUUUAUAAAUAAUUUGUUUCUGAACAUUGCUGGGGACAUUUACCAACUCAGACUGCUGAAAAUAGUAAUGAGAAUUAAUGCAGUAGAAAUUUUUUUCUUUUGCAUUUGUUCAUAUUCCAAAUGUAAUAUUACUCUCAUGAUAACAAAAUUUGUGAAUGCAAUCAUUGUGCAAACACUGUGAGUUCUUCCUGUUUUUUUCAAAUAUGUGAGUAAUCUUUUAUAGAAAAAGUAUAUUAUAAUUGUGAACCAGAUAAUCAGUACUGUUCCCAUUUCAUGUACCCUCGAAGAUGUAAAACAAUCAAUAAUUUAGUAGAACUCCUUUAACUGUAAACAAAGUAAUAUUUUUUUAACAUUAAAUUGCUCUUUUCAAUGAAACCAAAUUUUAAAAGAAUUCAUACAGAUAAAAAGACGUAUCAAUAUAAUCAAUGUAAGAAAGAUUUCAUAUGUGCCAAUUAUAUUUGCAGGCAUGAAAUAAGUUGUUCUGCAGAGCAACCCUCUGAGUUUAUUCAAUGUGGUAAAGCCUUUGCAUAUGAGAGUCAUAGUCAAAGGCAUGAAAUAAAACAUACUGGAG
rnacentral:lncRNA from 1 species